rnacentral:rRNA from 1 species
UAGCAUAUCAAUAAGCGGAGGAAAAGAAACCAACAGGGAUUGCCCUAGUAACGGCGAGUGAAGCGGCAACAGCUCAAAUUUGAAAUCUGGCUCUUUCAGAGUCCGAGUUGUAAUUUGCAGAGGGCGCUUUGGCGUUGGCAGCGGUCCAAGUUCUUUGGAACAGGACGUCACAGAGGGUGAGAAUCCCGUACGUGGUCGCUAGACUUCGCCGUGUAAAGCCCCUUCGACGAGUCGAGUUGUUUGGGAAUGCAGCUCUAAAUGGGAGGUAAAUUUCUUCUAAAGCUAAAUACUGGCCAGAGACCGAUAGCGCACAAGUAGAGUGAUCGAAAGAUGAAAAGCACUUUGGAAAGAGAGUCAAACAGCACGUGAAAUUGUUGAAAGGGAAGCGCUUGCAGCCAGACUUGCCUGUAGUUGCUUAUCCAGACUUCUGUCUGGUGCACUCUUCUAUAGGCAGGCCAGCAUCAGUUUGGGCGGUUGGAUAAAGGUCUCUAUCACGUACCUCUCUUCGGGGAGGCCUUAUAGGGGAGACGCCAUGCAACCAGCCCAGACUGAGGUCCGCGCAUCUGCUAGGAUGCUGGCGUAAUGGCUGUAAGCGGCCCGUCUUGAAACACGGACCAAGGAGUCUAACAUCUAUGCGAGUGUUUGGGUGUCAAGCCCAUACGCGUAAUGAAAGUGAACGGAGGUGGGAACCUUUUAGGUGCACCAUCGACCGAUCCUGAUGUCUUCGGAUGGAUUUGAGUAAGAGCAUGGCUGUUGGGACCCGAAAGAUGGUGAACUAUGCUUGAAUAGGGUGAAGCCAGAGGAAACUCUGGUGGAGGCUCGCAGCGGUUCUGACGUGCAAAUCGAUCGUCAAAUUUGGGCAUAGGGGCGAAAGACUAAUCGAACUAUCUAGUAGCUGGUUCCUGCCGA